GACUGCAUAGCCUAGUGGUAAAGGUGUCACAUUGACCUUGUGGUUUGGCUUACAUGCUGAAGUCCCAGGUUCAAAUUCUGAUCAAGUUA